AACGAACGCUGGCGGCAUGCCUAACACAUGCAAGUCGAACGAGACCUUCGGGUCUAGUGGCGCACGGGUGCGUAACGCGUGGGAACCUGCCCUUAGGUUCGGAAUAACUCCCCGAAAGGGGUGCUAAUACCGGAUAAUGUCUUCGGACCAAAGAUUUAUCGCCUUUGGAUGGGCCCGCGUUGGAUUAGCUAGUUGGUAGGGUAAAAGCCUACCAAGGCGACGAUCCAUAGCUGGUCUGAGAGGAUGAUCAGCCACACUGGGACUGAGACACGGCCCAGACUCCUACGGGAGGCAGCAGUGGGGAACAUUGGACAAAGGGCGAAAGCCUGAUCCAGCAAUGCCGCGUGAGUGAUGAAGGCCUUAGGGUUGUAAAGCUCUUUUACCCGGGAUGAUAAUGACAGUACCGGGAGAAUAAGCUCCGGCUAACUCCGUG
rnacentral:rRNA from 1 species